ensembl:misc_RNA Metazoa_SRP Metazoan signal recognition particle RNA
GCCGGGUGUGGUGGCACACGCCUGUAGUCCCAGCUACUCGGGAGGCCGAGGCAGGAGAAUCGCUUGAACCCAGGAAGUUGAGGUUGCAGUGAGCUGAGAUUGCACCACUGCACUCCAGCCUGGGCGACAAAGCGAGACUCUGUCUCAA